GAUGAAGAACGCAGCGAAAUGCGAUAAGUAAUGUGAAUUGCAGAAUUCAGUGAAUCAUCGAAUCUUUGAACGCACAUUGCGCCCCUUGGUAUUCCGGGGGGCAUGCCUGUUCGAGCGUCAUUUCAACCCUCAAGCUCAGCUUGGUAUUGAGUCCAUGUCAGUAAUGGCAGGCUCUAAAAUCAGUGGCGGCGCCGCUGGGUCCUGAACGUAGUAAUAUCUCUCGUUACAGGUUCUCGGUGUGCUUCUGCCAAAACCCAAAUUUUCUAUGGUUGACCUCGGAUCAGGUAGGGAUACCCGCUGAACUUAAGCACAUCAAUAAGCGGAGGA
rnacentral:misc_RNA from 1 species